UGUACGCGAGUUAUUGGGAAUUUCUAAACCUAAAGGCAUAAUGAAAGUAAAAAAAUCUUAUAUUCUAAGAUUUUAAUGGAAGAUGACAUUAUAUAUUAUAAUGUUCGCAUUCCAAGGGCGUCUCAUAAUUACUGAUCAUUGAUUUAUUUCUUUGAUAAAGAAUAGAGGCGAACCUAGAGCGUACACGUUGGGACCCGAAAGAUGGUGAACUAUUCCUGGCCAGGACGAAGUCAGGGGAAACCCUGAUGGAGGUCCGUAACGAUUCUGACGUGCAAAUCGAUCGUUGGAGCUGGGUAUAGGGGCGAAAGACUAAUCGAACCAUCUA
rnacentral:rRNA from 1 species